rnacentral:rRNA from 1 species
CGAGUUUGAUCCUGGCUCAGGAUGAACGCUAGCGGCAGGCUUAACACAUGCAAGUCGAGGGGUAUAGUUUUUCGGAACUAGAGACCGGCGCACGGGUGCGUAACGCGUAUGCAAUCUACCUUUUGCAGAGGGAUAGCCCAGAGAAAUUUGGAUUAAUACCUCAUAGUAUAGCGACAUCGCAUGAUGAUGCUAUUAAAGUCACAACGGCAAAAGAUGAGCAUGCGUCCCAUUAGCUAGUUGGUAAGGUAACGGCUUACCAAGGCAACGAUGGGUAGGGGUCCUGAGAGGGAGAUCCCCCACACUGGUACUGAGACACGGUCCAGACUCCUACGGGAGGCAGCAGUGGGGAAUUUUGGACAAUGGGCGCAAGCCUGAUCCAGCCAUGCCGCGUGAGUGAAGAAGGCCUUCGGGUUGUAAAGCUCUUUCGGCCGGGAAGAAAUCGCACAGGUUAAUACCCUGUGUGGAUGACGGUACCGGAAUAAGAAGCACCGGCUAACUACGUG